AUUCCUAUAAUCCAUUUUAAUUUCUACUGCUAAUCCCAAUUCCAUCACCAUUUCAAAGGCAUUAAACUGUUGCUCUGCAUACAUUGGCCAAGUGGCAAUUGGGACACCAAACCAUAUGCUUUCUAGCACAGAAUUCCAUCCACAAUGUGAAACAAAUCCUCCAAUGGCUGGAUGUGCCAAGACAGCCACUUGUGGAGCCCACCCUAUCACCUUUCCAAUUCCACCCAUUCGAUCCAAGAAACCUUCGGGCAAGACUUGUUGUGGAUCCUCGUAGUCACUAGGAGAUUUUAGGAGACCCACAGAUGAUGGUGUUUGGCGAAGGGACCAUAAGAAUCGAUGACCACUAUGCUCUAAGGCGCAAGCAAUCUCUGUCACUUGAUUCUGACUAAAAGUUCCCUUGCUCCCAAAGCACAGGAAUACUACUGUCGAUGGAGGCUGAUCAUCAAGCCAUCGCAUGAUUUCCUUAUGAGUGUUUCUUCCAUCUGACCCCAUAUCUAAAAUAGGUCCCACAGGGUAAACAGGAGGCAUUUUUAAAGACUCAAUCGCAUAGGAUUCCAACUCCAAGAAUGUAUUCACUAUAAUACCAUUAGCUUCUCUGAACCUUCUUAUGUUGUCAAGUAUAGAAGGAAACCAAUCUUUGCUCAACAUUGCAGAAGGCAUGACCCUACCAGGAAAUGGGUUUAUCAAACUUAACACUUGCAACUCAGCAUCUGAGUCCUUGAGCUCAGUGGGGUCAAAUUUCUCUUCAUCAUAAAUCUUUUGCACAUAAAGCAUGAAGCCAAGAAAAGCUGCACCCGACGAAAAGAAAAUGUAAGACGGAACCCCAAAUUCAUUAGCCACAUCUAUCAUCGACGCGCAUAAUGUAUCAACAACAAAACCUAC
rnacentral:misc_RNA from 1 species